GUGGGGAAUCUUCCGCAAUGGACGAAAGUCUGACGGAGCGACGCCGCGUGAGUGAAGAAGGCCUUCGGGUCGUAAAGCUCUGUCAUCAGGGACGAACGGCCGGUGGAGUGGAAAGCCACCGGAUUGACGGUACCUGAGAAGGAAGCCACGGCUAACUACGUGCCAGCAGCCGCGGUAAUACGUAGGUGGCAAGCGUUGUCCGGAAUUAUUGGGCGUAAAGCGCGCGCAGGUGGGAUCUUAAGUCCAUUUUGAAAGUUCGGAGCUCAACUCCGUGAUGGGAUGGAAACUGGGAUUCUUGAGUACCGGAGAGGAAAGCGGAAUUCCCCGUGUAGCGGUGAAAUGCGUAGAUAUGGGGAGGAACACCAGUGGCGAAGGCGGCUUCCUGGCACAAUACUGACGCUCAUGUGCGAAAGCUAGGGCAGCGAACGGGAUUAGAUACCCUAGUAGUCC
rnacentral:rRNA from 1 species